GCAACAACAUUUGGACCGACGGUCUACCGAGCAAUAUCACCCGCUCGAUGGAAGAUCUUCCCUUUGUCAUUCAGC
rnacentral:pre_miRNA from 1 species